CUGACAAGGCACGGCAGGGAUUUGACUUACCUGGCUCUGUUUGAUGAGGGGAAGGUGAAAGAAGACAACUUUCACAUCCUCUUAAAUACGACAUCAGAAAUUUACAUUUUCUUCUUGAAAGUGUGUGUCCUGGAAACAGAUUGAUUUCAGUACAACACAUGGCAGAAUAAAGUUCAGGCUCUCCAGUGGGAUUUGGAAUCUGAUAGGUGCUGUGAAGAUGAUGGUAUUCCACAACUGAAAAUCAGGUUGUCACGCUUGAAAGGAAAAUGUGCUACAAUAAAAAGGCUUGGAUCUAUCAAGGCAAAUUCCCUUAUGAGAGCUAAAAACAUCACUUAGUACCAUGUCUACAACUGAGAGGACAAAAUCACUGUGAAAGUCAUACAAGGUGCUGCUUUUGAUCAUCAAAUGAAAACUAAUCUGCUGAAGAGCUGUGGAGUUUAUGUGCAAAACCAAAGUAAAAAGAAGCAGGUUAACAUAAAAUCUUUGUCUUAUUUACUGACUGUGUUUCACUAGUGUUUUCAAUCCAGUUUUCAAAUUUACCAUGUGGCUCUAUUAUAUUUUAAGCAUACUUAUU